rnacentral:rRNA from 1 species
UCUUGUUGAUUAUAAUUUCAAGUCUGGCCUGCCCAGUGAUAAAUUAAACGGCCGCGGUAUUUUGACCGUGCAAAGGUAGCAUAGUCACUAGUUUUUUAAUUGAAAGCUUGAAUGAAAGGUUUGAUGAAAAAAAGACUGUCUCUGUUAAAAUUUAUUAGAAUUUUAUUUUUAAGUCAAAAAGCUUAAAUUAAGAUAGAAGACGAGAAGACCCUAUAGAGUUUUAUAUUUCACAGAAAAUGAAGUUCUAGGGUUAUAAAAUUUUAUUUUUUGAAGGAGUAUUUUGUUGGGGUGACAGAAAAAUUAAAUAAACUUUUUUUAUAUUUAAUACAUUUAUUUAUGAGUUAAUGAUCCUAGUAUAAUAGAUUAUAAGAUUGAAUUACCUUAGGGAUAACAGCGUUAUUUUUUUUAGAGUUCUUAUCGAAAGAAAAGAUUGCGACCUCGAUGUUGGAUUAAAAUUUAUUGUUGGUGUAGAAGCUGAUAAAUUAGGUCUGUUCGACCUUUGAAAUUUUACAUGAUCUGAGUUUAAACCGGUGUGAGCC